GACGUAGGGUGCAAGCGUUGUCCGGAUUUAUUGGGCGUAAAGAGCUCGUAGGCGGUUUGUCGCGUCGAUUGUGAAAAUCCGCAGCUCAACUGUGGACUUGCAGUCGAUACGGGCAGGCUAGAGUUCGGUAGGGGAGACUGGAAUUCCUGGUGUAGCGGUGAAAUGCGCAGAUAUCAGGAGGAACACCGGUGGCGAAGGCGGGUCUCUGGGCCGAUACUGACGCUGAGGAGCGAAAGCGUGGGGAGCGAACAGG
rnacentral:rRNA from 1 species